UACGUAGGGGCAAGCGUUGUCCGGAAUCAUUGGGCGUAAAGAGCGUGUAGGCGGUCCGGUAAGUCGGCUGUGAAAGUCCAGGGCUCAACCCUGGGAUGCCGGUCGAUACUUGCGGACUAGAGCACGGUAGGGGGAUCUGGAAUUCCUGGUGUAGCGGUGAAAUGCGUAGAUAUCAGGAGGAACACCGGUGGCGAAGGCGGGAUCCUGGACCGGUUGCUGACGCUGAGGCGCG
rnacentral:rRNA from 1 species